AUGCUGGGAGCGGCUGGAGAAGGGGAUCCCAGCAAACGGUUUUCCAAGGCCACCUCCACAGCAGCCCGAAGUCCCAGCCCCACGAAGUCCACAUCAGUUGGAGGCUGGGGGAAGCAGAUACGAUGUCGCCAUGGCAGUUAUGGCACUGAAUUGUCACCGCUUGCUCAGCGUCUCGUGUACGGGGGCCUGGCGCGAAGCUUCUGGGUGCACGUACGUUAGCAACGGAGCAGCAGGGGGAUGUGUGCUCUCAGGCCCUUCCUUUUCUUGAAAAUUGGGAUCCACCAGUGAGGACUGCACAAGAACUGCAGUACCAGGUGAGGCUGUGGGGAGACGGACAACGGGGUUUCAUCAUGGGGGGGUAGGAAGGGGCAGCACGCUAUUGCAUCUCCUACCUUGCAGAUAACCGAUUUAAUGAUUUGCUACUGCUAGUGAGAACAGUCCUUUAGAUAAAGAAGGGGGGAAGCAAAUUCACAAUCUGAAUCAUGGUCAUGCUUCUGGUUCUGGGGAGUUUUCACAAAGCAAGACAGUAAUAGACAGAUUUAUCUUUUGUUUGGUUGCUGUUUUUAUUAGCACUGCGUGCAGACUAGGAAGCCAGACCCUGUUGCUACCAGAUUAAUAUUUGAACACUGUGGGCACCGGAGUUGACUCAUCAGGAAUUAGUUUGCCUACAGCCCAACGCAGAGCAGUCGCACAAACACAGCGUAGUCACAGACCCGCUUGCAGCUCGAAGGUCAGAUGUUGAGCUUGUGCUCUGCCAGGCGCCCAGAGAUAGCUCCAACAAUAGGCUGAUUUAGGCUUCCCGGCUCGCAGGGACUGAACCUUUCAGUGCUUCAAAUUGCAACUUCGCUGCGUCUGUUAUUUGCCCGUUUCUGCAUUCUGUUGAGAUCACAAUUGCUUCUAGAUAAAUGAGCUUGAGCACGGCCUGACUUCCAUCACCUUCUGCUCUUAGAUAUUAAAAGGAGAAUAACAGGAUACCAAAAAGGUACUCGAACUCUACUGCUUUUGAUUUGAAGUGGCAUUUCCAAUGAGCGUUAAAAACAGCAAGCCAGAAAGAUGAGGUUCGUACUAGAUCAUUUGCUAAAUUAAGCUAAAUAAAUGCUGCUUUUUCCCGCUGCUUUCUUAUAUU
rnacentral:lncRNA from 1 species